AUUGAACGCUGGCGGCAUGCUUUACACAUGCAAGUCGAACGGCAGCGCGGGCUUCGGCCUGGCGGCGAGUGGCGAACGGGUGAGUAAUGCAUCGGAACGUGCCCAGUAGUGGGGGAUAGCCCGGCGAAAGCCGGAUUAAUACCGCAUACGACCUGAGGGUGAAAGCGGGGGACCGAAAGGCCUCGCGCUAUUGGAGCGGCCGAUGUCGGAUUAGCUAGUUGGUGGGGUAAAGGCUUACCAAGGCGACGAUCCGUAGCUGGUCUGAGAGGACGACCAGCCACACUGGGACUGAGACACGGCCCAGACUCCUACGGGAGGCAGCAGUGGGGAAUUUUGGACAAAGGGGGCAGCCCUGAUCCAGCCAUGCCGCGUGCGGGAAGAAGGCCUUCGGGUUGUAAACCGCUUUUGUUCGGGAAGAAAUCCUCUGGGCUAAUACCCCGGGGGGAUGACGGUACCGGAAGAAUAAGCACCGGCUAACUACGUG
rnacentral:rRNA from 1 species